UACGUAGGGCGCAAGCGUUGUCCGGAAUUAUUGGGCGUAAAGAGCUCGUAGGCGGCCUGUUGCGUCCGCUGUGAAAUCCCGGGGCUCAACCCCGGGCCUGCAGUGGAUACGGGCUGGCUAGAGGCAGGCAGGGGAGAACGGAAUUCCUGGUGUAGCGGUGAAAUGCGCAGAGUAUCAGGAGGAACACCGGUGGCGAAGGCGGUUCUCUGGGCCUGUACUGACGCUGAGGAGCGAAAGCGUGGGGAGCAAACAGG
rnacentral:rRNA from 1 species